CAAGUCGAACGGUAACAGGGUGUGCUUGCACAUCGCUGACGAGUGGCGGACGGGUGAGUAAUGCUUGGGAACUUGCCUUUGCGAGGGGGAUAACAGUUGGAAACGACUGCUAAUACCGCAUAAUGUCUACGGACCAAACGGGGCUUAGGCUCCGGCGCAAAGAGAGGCCCAAGUGAGAUUAGCUAGUCGGUAAGGUAAUGGCUUACCAAGGCGACGAUCUCUAGCUGUUCUGAGAGGGGGAUCAGCCACACUGGGACUGAGACACGGCCCAGACUCCUACGGGAGGCAGCAGUGGGGAAUAUUGCACAAUGGGGGGAACCCUGAUGCAGCCAUGCCGCGUGUGUGAAGAAGGCCUUCGGGUUGUAAAGCACUUUCAGUUGUGAGGAAAAGUUAGUAGUUAAUACCUGCUA
rnacentral:rRNA from 1 species